UACGUAGGGCGCGAGCGUUAUCCGGAAUUAUUGGGCGUAAAGAGCUCGUAGGCGGUUUGUCACGUCUGCUGUGAAAACUGGAGGCUCAACCUCCAGCCUGCAGUGGGUACGGGCAGACUAGAGUGCGGUAGGGGAGAUUGGAAUUCCUGGUGUAGCGGUGGAAUGCGCAGAUAUCAGGAGGAACACCAAUGGCGAAGGCAGAUCUCUGGGCCGUAACUGACGCUGAGGAGCGAAAGCAUGGGGAGCGAACAGG
rnacentral:rRNA from 1 species